rnacentral:rRNA from 1 species
GCAUCGAUGAAGAACGCAGCGAAACGCGAUAGGUAAUGUGAAUUGCAGAAUUCCGUGAAUCAUCGAAUCUUUGAACGCACCUUGCGCUCUAUGGCAAUCCGUAGAGCAUACCUGUUUGAGUGCCAUGAAAUCUCCCACCCCAAGCGGUUUUUAAAUGAAACGGCUUGGCGGAUGGGGUCUGGAUGGGUGCCGCUGCCUGGGCUUUGGCCCAGGCUCGCCCGAAAUGCAUGAGCGCUUAGCACUCGCACCGUCUCGAGGGAAGGCGGCGGAGCUGGCAUCUGCGCAUGGCAUGAUACGUCAUUUGCUGUGUGGCAGCCCAGCGACCCGAGAGUGUGUGUGCGCUACUACACGCCCUUUCAUUUCUGGUCUCAAAUCAGGUAGGAUCACCCGCUGAACUUAAGCAUAUCAAUAAGCGGAGGAA